UACGUAGGGUGCAAGCGUUGUCCGGAAUCACUGGGCGUAAAGCGCGUGUAGGCGGUCCGGUAAGUCCGCUGUGAAAGUCGGGGGCUUAACUCUCGGAUGGCGGUGGAUACUGUCGGGCUUGAGUACGGAAGAGGCGAGUGGAAUUCCUGGUGUAGCGGUGAAAUGCGCAGAUAUCAGAAGGAACACCAAGUGCGAAGGCAGCUCGCUGGGACGUUACUGACGCUGAGACGCGAAAGCGUGGGGAGCAAACAGG
rnacentral:rRNA from 1 species